ensembl:lncRNA MTUS2-AS2 MTUS2 antisense RNA 2
AGUAUUUCCCUCCGGAGUGUAGCUCCUGUGAAAUGCUCCAAGAUGAUCUCGGAUGCAAAUUCAGCCAUGCAAGAGUGAUGAAAUGCUUGCAUUAUUUCCAAAGAUGAAUUAAGACAAUGAGGCAGCUCUUCAUUUGUCAAAUUUUCAAAGGAUUCUGUGAGGCCCCCAAAACUUGAGAACCUCUUGGAUUCAUCUCUCCACUCUGGUUUCUACCCCCAGAAUCUAUCAAGUGGCCUCACUCCUGGAUUACCUCCAGCACAAGAGAAAGUGCAUAUUCUGUCUGCUCUACUGGGCCAGGGGAGUAGGGAAAGAACAGGAGACAGUAAGGAUAAAAUGAAAGCAACAUAAAUGGGCAGCAUAAAAUAGAAAAAGCAGCUAUUGCAUCUCCCUCAUUUCAGAUUAUUUGUCAGAUAUGCCCUUCCCCACACAUGUGUGUAUGCAUGUUCCAUUACAUCACAGUUCUGUCCAUCUGCCCGUCCCACUAGACCAUGAAUCCUUGGCAAUCAAGACCAUAACUCUCAUAGUACCCAACACAAUAACUGCCCUGUAAUACAUUCCCAAUAAGUAUUUGCUGAAUUUAAUUGAAGCAAAUUAAUAGAAGAAGACAUAUUGUGCAUAGUUCCUAUAAUUAUAUACAAACUGAGGCCCAGAACUGAACCAUUAGCCAUGGUAUUGGUAUCACUGUCAACUCAGACUCCCAGGCAACAGUGUAAAUGGAAU